UGCCUAUGUUUUCUUCUAGAAGUGUUAUGGUUUCAGGUCUUACCUUUUAAGUCUUUAAUCCAUUUUGAAUUUUUGUAUAUGGUGUGAGAAAAUAGUCCAGUUUGAUUCUUUGGCAGGAUAGCUAUUCAGUUUUCCCAGCACUGCUUACUGAAGAGUCUGUCUUUUCCUCCAUCAUAUAUUCUUGCCUCCUUUGUCAUAGAUUAAUUGCACAUGUAAAUGUGGGUUCAUUUCUGGGCUCUCUUUUACUGUUAGAUUUCUAGGUUAGAUACGAACAUGGAUACUGUCCUACAGGAUAAUAAAAACAUAAUCUUUGUGAUAAUCUUUUCUACUGGGUAUAAAUCUAUAAGUUAACAUGUAUCACUCAGUGUCUGCCUUCUAAUCAAACAGUCAGCAGGUAGGUCAAACACAGGUACAUUCUCUGGGAGCAUUAACUCAUCUUUGGGCAGUAUCACUAAUCUGUACUAUAACUCUGGAAGGAUGUACUGUACUCUCGUUUGCCUAUUUCCAAGUUCUGGAUAAUUUUUUUUUCAACAAAAGCCUGCAUCUCAACUGAGAUUGUCCUGUGUAUUCAUUUGCUCAUUGCCAGCCUCAAUCUACUAGAGUAAAACCUCCAUGAAGAUAUGGAUUCUGCUGAUCCUGAUGACCUCUGUGUCCUCAGAUUCUACUUUAAUUCCAGGUGCAAAUUUGUGCUUUGCAAGUGAAAUCUGGACAAUGGGAAUGCACAUGAGCAGAGAUGAUUGGGCACAGGAGAGCCCAGCAGUUUGCAGUUCAGCCACUGUGACUGUCUUUAAGUGCUUGUGACAUUGGACAUACCUGUGAACGCAGAAUUCCAGGGAAUACACAAUGCCAGGGGUUCAGCCAGAUACAACAUGAACACGAGGUAAGUGCCCGUGACACUGACAACCCUAAGAGGCCAUGCUUUCCAGUUGAAUCAGAAGUUGCUUCCAGUGCAGAAAGGACCAGUAAAAUUAAGGCUAAUAAUUUAAAAUUUUAAUUUAGUGGCAUUAAAUAGCAACUAAGAAAUACCAAAACUCUUAAGAGAAACACUGGAAAAGAAGAAAAAAGUAUUGUGUUUUAGUUCCUUUAAUGGUAUUUUUCCCCCUGCCUUUUGAGCAAGGCGUCUCUCGUUUUCAUUUUGCAUGUGGCUUUGCAGGUGGUGCUGGGAUCUGAAUCUUGCUGGUUAUUUGGGAAACCUGGGGCAACUCUCUUCACUGGGUGGAGUUGCAGUUGCCCAUCUGGAAAAUGGGGACGAUGUGUCACAGAGUUGUUGAGGAUUACAACAAGUAAGAGUUCAGGCAGCCAAAUCCUUGUCCACCCCUUAGAACAAGGCACUGUGCUCAGUGCUUUACUAUUUGAUCUCAUUUCUUCCUCAACAACGACCGAGUCAGUGGGUGUCAUUCGCCACCACAUUGGAUUUUUCUGAUAUUUUUGGC
rnacentral:lncRNA from 1 species